rnacentral:rRNA from 1 species
GUCCACGCUGUAAACGAUGGAUGCUAGCCGUCAGCAAGCAUGCUUGUUGGUGGCGCAGCUAACGCAUUAAGCAUCCCGCCUGGGGAGUACGGCCGCAAGGUUAAACUCAAAGGAAUUGACGGGGGCCCGCACAAGCGGUGGAGCAUGUGGUUUAAUUCGACGCAACGCGAAGAACCUUACCAGCCCCUUGACAUGUCCGGACGGUUUUCCAGAGAUGGAUUCCCUCCUAGCAAUAGGUCGGAACACAGGUGCUGCAUGGCUGUCGU